GAACUUAAAUCCCAAAUCUCUCUUUUUCAGUUAAACCCAGCGCUGUACCACCCAACAGCCAAUCCACCACCCCACACUGUACACAGAGUUCACAGGCCAUCAGAUAUGAAUAGACGCUAUAAUUUGCUGGCAUUUCCUCAUGGAGACCAUUUGAUUAGAAAGAAAGAGGAGGGGUGAACACAAGAAAGGACAAAGGACGCUCUGAGGGCCUGAGGGGUGCGGUCAGUAGAGGAUACCAAUAAAGAAAAGGGACAGAACGUGAAGAAAGAUUAAGGCAGUUCAAAACUGAAUGGACACGGCAACCAGCUGGAGCAAGAGACUGCAGACAGAGAGCCACUGCUGUGUGACCAAACUUUUACUGCAUUUAACUGCAGGUCCCUCAACUUUGGAGGAAGUUCUGAAGCAACAAAAGGCUGCUAAGGUGGCAUCCUAUCACGGAACCACGAAGGAAGUAAAUGAGCUCCUGAGAGCGACCCAUUCUUUCACAAAUGGUUGAUUUUAUACACCCACGGUGAUGGAAGUGACUGGAACACCUGAAAUAAAUCACUUGGAUUGGUGAGUGAGUACUUUUCAGUACCUUUAGUCUUAUUUGUACUCAUCGAAUCUUAUCACCAGUUUGUUUGCAUGACAUUAUGAUACCGCCACUUUGCUUCCAGGAAAAACUUCAAAAGGCCAGCUGCUGUGUGUGAUUUAUUUAUUUAUUUAAACGAAGCAUGUCUAAUUCUGCACGUAAGAUAAAGAUACAGUUUCCAUGGAGCAACUUCAACCUUGCUUAUUUUAAAUAAUUAAAUAUUACAAAACAUUAAACAAUCUGAAAAAGGUCAAUGAUCUUAAACUUUAAACAUAAGAUGAAAACUCACCCACUCACACAAAUUCUACUCCCUCAUUUAGAUGCUUUUAAAGCUCUGCACAUAAUUUCUGCCCCCUCAUAAACACUUGCCUUUGAUGUUCCUUAGCACCCUCAAAGGCUCUCAUGGCUGUCUGAUCUGUGACAGCACAACACUAACCUCUACAAACUGAUAUCUACAUAUGAAUGCACAUAAUCUGGAGUCAACCAGACCAGAAGCUUAUCCUGCACUUAGUCUCACGAGUUUUGACCGAUCAUGUCUGAGCAGGCUUUGACUAAAUGCUGUUUGUGUAUCUAACAUGCAAAUCAUGAAAACAUCUGCUCUCAUACAACUGUUUAAAACAUAUCUGUAAAGGUGGACUGUACUGGAAACUGAGCCUGGAUAUCACUUAUCUGGAUAUUUGCUGGCUAAGAUUCUCUCAUUUCUCACACAAAGACACCUUACAACACACAUCUUAAAACUGCGUCAGCUGUGAGUAAAGCCCUGUUUCCUAAGAAAGAAAAUUAGAGCUUGAGGAAAGAGAAAUGUAAGAAGCAAGUCUGACUAAGUGUGGAGGAAGAAAGUCAGACGGAGGAAGAAAAACAGGAAGGAAGUAAAGAUGGUGAAAUGAGAGGAAAUAACCUGGUAGAAAGUCAGGAAACGCUGACAUGUGCAAGAGUGUGUGCAGCAGUCUGACGCACCUAUGCUGUUGGUGACUGAGAUUUGUUAAUGGUGGACAUCCCACGCCUGACAUCUCAAGAAAGUCUGUGUUGCUUGGCAACACUCCAGACCUCUCUCUACAGCAUCUCUUGUCUUUCCUGCAUUUCAUCAUUACCUGUCUCCCUUUUCUUUUGCUUUCAAGGUUGUCGCAAAUGAGUUCUGUAACUUAAUUUUUAAAAAGGUGACGCUGCAAAGGAAAGCCCCGCACAUGCUUUGGCGUCAAGCUGCGUUCACAUGGAGAUGGUCAGUGGAAACCUGUAGCUAGUAACGACAAUUCUCAACAGGGGAAACUUCGUAAUGAGGGAGUGAGUGCAGUCAUGUGUGCACAAAAAACACGCAUGUGACAGGCAGCAAGGAUAUGCUAAAUUCAUUACCUCGGGCCACAAAGGUACAAGGUACAGACACACAAAUAUGUAUAGACACACAAAUAUUAAAACAUAGGCAAACUUUAUUUCGUGCUUGCUUAAGACGUGCAGUCUUGCACAAACAUAGAAAAAUAAAUAAAAUGUCCGCAGCUGCCAUUUAAUAAAGGUACAUAUUUACUUUGCUGUUUUUGUUUCAGGGUAUGACUUCACGUCAGAUGGCUAUUUUGGAAGCUGUGAAUUGUGGGCCUGUUGAAAUACUUCAAGCAAGUUUUGACAUUAGACAUCCAUCUCCGUAAUGCUACAGGGCAGCUUUUCUUAUUCCACUACUCAUGAACCUUCAUCCAACACAAUGGACUGGCAGCUGCUGGGACUGGAUGUGUUAUGAGAAGUAGGGGUGGGUUUACCGAUUAAAAUUGGUUAGGUUAAACCUCACAAAAUUUCAACAACCACCAAACAACUAAAACUGUAAAUGAGAGCAGGUACAUGGAUUCUGCACAAAUUCGUAAACAUAGAGCACGGACCCGCCGACGCAUCAGAAUUGGUGAGAUGUCAGCUUUCUAUGUUUACGUCUUUUUUUUUUUUUACGCUAGAUUCUGACGCUGCAGGUUUCAUCAUCCUCCAACUGAACCAUCAGCAAAAGAAGAUCCAAACUAAGCUUCACCUUUCGCUUCACGUAAACAUCGUCAUGAAUUCCCUCUUACUUUUGCUGUUUUGCUUCCACCAUGAUAAAAUGACACGUCAUGCACAGCUCUCCCUCUCUCUCAGUGUACUUCAAGAAGAGUGUCACAUCUAAAAAUCUCUGUUUUCUGCAUUAUCCACUUUCUUAUUACGCACCAGUCUACCACUGUGUACAGCGCUGUCGGCCGCGGUUUGUUUUUAAUUUUUUUAAUUUAACUAACUUACAACAAGAAAGUCUAAGUUCUGCUGCUGAAGAAAUGUAAACUUUUUAAAAUAUGCGAAAUUGCAAAAUGCUUAGCUGUGUCUCUAAUUAAACCUCUGUAACUU